rnacentral:misc_RNA from 1 species
CAGUGUUCCCUGCCCUCACGGGUAGGAUCGCCCACCCUUGAAUAUGAUGUUUGUUGCUUUGGCGGGCCACGAGGCCUAGCCGCGCCCCCGCGAGAGCGGGGGAGUGCCCGCCAGAGGACCCCAAACCCUGAAUAUUAGUGUCGUCUGAGUACUAUAUAAUACUUA